AUUGAACGCUGGCGGCAUGCUUUACACAUGCAAGUCGAACGGCAGCACAGGGAGCUUGCUCCCGGGUGGCGAGUGGCGCACGGGUGAGUAAUACAUCGGAACGUGUCCUGUUGUGGGGGAUAACUGCUCGAAAGGGUGGCUAAUACCGCAUGAGACCUGAGGGUGAAAGCGGGGGAUCGCAAGACCUCGCGCAAUUGGAGCGGCCGAUGCCCGAUUAGCUAGUUGGUGAGGUAAAGGUUCACCAAGGCGACGAUCGGUAGCUGGUCUGAGAGGACGACCAGCCACACUGGGACUGAGACACGGCCCAGACUCCUACGGGAGGCAGCAGUGGGGAAUUUUGGACAAUGGGGGGCAACCCUGAUCCAGCCAUGCCGCGUGCAGGAUGAAGGCC
rnacentral:rRNA from 1 species